CAGGGAAGGAUGACUUGGCUGCGGGGAGAGGGAGGGGGGUCUCAGAGGAAGGGGGGACCAGGAGGGGCGGUGUUGGGGGGGGUGUUGGCUUCACGCUGGUACUAGUUUGAUUUAUCCCUAAUGAGUUCUCAGCACAUGGCUGCUCCCGGCUCACUCCGGGGGCCAGCGCGGCCUCCCGCGGGCCCCAGCCCGCCCCAACUCCAGAACAGCCGCCACUCGCUCAGAAAAGAGCCAAUUUCCACACUGCACAGUCCGCUUCACUCAAGGGGAAAUCACAUUUCCCUGGGAGGCUGCAGGCAGCGCCUCACUCCACACCUCCCCCCACAGUCUGGCCGGCUGCCACCAGGCACAGAUGCAGGGGAGCUGGGCCCCGACCUCCCUUCUCUGGCAACACAAAGCUCCACUUCCCUCCACCCACCAGACCCAGACCCCACCCCAAAUCUGCCCCAAAUCUCGGGCUGCCUCUCCACAGCUGGGGCUUACCCUUUGCUGCUUUGCAAAAGAAGGAAAAGGGGGGCUGCCCAGGGGAGGAUGCUGGCUGGGAGGGGACCAGCCUUGCCUGCUUUCUCCAGGAAGCCAAGCACCUGGUUCCAUUUGAAGGGUUUAGAGAUGUAGGAGAUAAGGCCCUCCAGCAUCUGUGUCACAAGUGCCCUCAAGAGCUGGAGGAAGAGAAUAAAGUAACGAGAAAAGAAACCAGACCGGAAGGAGAUGGGGGAGGAGAGAUGCUUUCAGCAUUUCCUGAGCAAUGGAUGCAGGACUUCUAAGUCCUCUGAAUGUUUCACUUUCUCUCUCCCAUAGGUCUCUCAGAGGCGUAGUUGUUCUGGACUUAGCAGAAGAGGGGUGGGAGUAAGAAACUUAAAGGAGAUGGAAAAAAGGAGAAGGUGAGAGGGAGAGAGAGGAGGCAGCCUUUGGGGCAUGUAGAAUGGGGCACUUUUGCCAGAAUCAGAGCUGUGGGCAGCAUGGCCAGGUCACCCCCCCACCCCACCCCCUGCCUGCGGGCGACACACAAACUGAGGCAGAGGAACAACCAGAUUCCCUGCAGGUGGACAUGCUUGAAGACCCUAAAGGCUGGAGAGAGGCUGCUAAGGAGUGGCCUGGGGGGUGGACUCAAGGUCAAGGACGGAGGCUGACCUGGCAUUUUCUUCCAUCCCCAGGGCUCCUUUUCCACCUGUAGGCUGUCCCCUGGGCCUUUCAUCCAGGAUCAUCCCUGAAGUCGGGAGUGUGUGGCAGUGCUCUUGGUGGCCACGUAACUGGCAAUCCCCACAAAGCCAUAGGAGCCUGAGGCCUCUGCCAAAGCCUGGCCAUGUCCAGCUGAUGUAGUUUUCGUCUUAGAUUAGGGUGGGGCUGUGGUCCCUGCUCCUCUGAAUAACCUUGAAAAAUGAAGCCAUCUCUUGCUCCUCAGUUUCCCCAAGUGCAAAACAGGGCCAAUGUUCAGAAUUGGAGACAAAAAUGGGUAUGAAUACGUUUUGUAAACUGACAAAAAUGAAGCCUAAUUGAAGGGUUGUUGGAAUGUCUGAGGAUGGGGGAGGGGAGGGAGGGCAGUUGAGAGGGGGUGAAGGGGGGCAGGGAGGGAACCCCAAUCCUUCUGAAGCUCAAGGCCACUGACUAGGGUGGCUAGAGAUCUCCAGCCUCCUCUCCGGCACCCACUCCCAAAGGACGAGCCUAAGAAGACUUAAAUGGGAAAGCUGUGUGUUUGGGGAGGAGGCAGGAGGGCGGGUGGGGGAGGGGACAUUUUAGGAAGCCCCUCACCUUCUCUGGCCUCUACUUCCCCAUCUGUAGACUGUGGUCACUUAGUUCUCUCAUCAGAGGUGGUCUGAGUAUAUGUCUGGCACAUGAGGGGCAGAAGGAACAUGGUUUUUAGUACCAACCGAGGGCAGGCAGAAUGUUGGCGGAGUGAGGGAGGAGCCAGAACCAGCCUGGGGGCUGACCUUGGAGCAGCAAUCCCAGCUACCCCCUACCCCCACAGGCCCUGGGGUAGGGGCCAGAGGUUUACAGGAGCUUCAGCCCUCCUUAGAAAGAUGGGUCAUUUCCCCUCCUCGUGGACCGAGGCAGGGUUCAAGCAGCUGCUCUGUCUCCCAGCAGCAAACCCACCACCCUGCGGGGGGCUGCUUGGCCAGCACAGACCGCCGUGAUCACCCGCACCCUGGGCUGGCCUGGAGGAGGAGGGGUUAGGAUGCCGGACAAGGGAGAGUGGCCUGGAAAGCUGAGGAGGCCACGUCACCCGGGCAUGAAAGGAAUGGUUCAAGGAGGCAACAGGGGGCGGCGGGGGGCUUGGGCCCUCAUCGCCCUGGCAAUGCCUCAGGCCCAGCCCUCAUCCCCAGUUCCGUCAGCGCUCUCUCAUGCCUUCAGAGAAACCAGGGCUGGGAUGGGCCACACAGCAAACCACCCCUCCCCCACUUCCCAUGCAGCUACUUGGCCCCCAGACCUUGUCCUCCCAUCAUUCUCCUCAUACUCCUUUUCGGUGACCCCCUCAUGUACCAUCCCUAUUUGUCCCAACACCACUCCUGACACUGGGGACCCUCAGAUCAUCUCUCUCUGGCAGCACGUAGAUGACUGUAGUUUCCAACCCAGCAGGGAGAUCUGUGACUUGACUGUGGACGGAGCCUCUGGAGAGGUACCAGCCAGAGCCCACCACGCAUGCACCAACACCUGCCCUGAGCAGGGUGUCCUGGGAGGCUCAGCCAAAGCACAGCCCAAGUCCCUUGUUAUUCGGGGCUUUGAGAGGCUGUUCCUAGAAAGGGUUUGGCUGCAAUGCGAAGGAUCGCUCUGCAGGAUCUUUGGGGCCCCAUCUCCAGGCGAUUCCUGUGUGGCAGGUGUCUGAGGGGGCUCAGGAGCCUGGAGGUUUGGGAUCAUGAAGAGCCUCGGAUAAUGGGGUUCAGUCCUGCCACCAUGUUCACGGCUGGAAGGAAGUCCUGUAAUUGAAAAGUGAGCCUUACCUCUGAUCUCCUAGGAAGACCUGGGGACUGGAUUUCUUUGUGGGACAGUCCCCCCCUCCCCCGUGGUUUCACAAUUCCUAUGUCAUCCUCAGUGAGCACUUUUGGCCUCUCUUUUGGGAGGACCAGGGCGGCGAGAGCUCUCAGCCUCUGCUGUCCCAGCCUGGGAAUGCCUGGGUGGGUGAGGACUCUCCUCUGCCAUUGAACUCAACCUCGGCUGUCAUCUGCCUGGCUGUCAGCACUGACCUGGGCAUCCUGCCUCUUGGUCCAGCCAGGUCCCUCACAGAGAGGGUCCACACAGAUACCAGUCAUGCACCCUCCUGGGGGCAGAGCCUUUGGAAGUCACCAUUGUAAGUUCCACCCUGUUCUCCAAAAUUUUGUAGAAGGGUUUGUCCUAAGUUUCUACAGUGGCUCCCUUGCCCCUUCCAGCCCCAGCUUCUCAAUUGCUGAAGUCUUGGCAAAUAUUUGGGAACCAUACACACACACACCAAAGAAACGGCUUUCAAUGGCAGUCCUGGGACCUCCCCUGGGUCUAGAACCCCUGGCUGAGGGACCUGUGGUACUGGGCCAAAGUCCUGGGCUUAAGCCAAGAGGACUGGAUUGACUACCACUUCCUGCCUUGGGCAAGUUCUUUCAUUUUCCCCCUGAGCCUCUGUUUCUCCAUAUGUAAAAUGGGGCGAAUGCCAACUUAGUUUAUGUGAGGCCCCCAAGCAGCAGAGGCCAGGAAAUGUCCUCCCUUCCCUCCUCUCCCACCAUGGGGAUCCUAGGUGCUGUUUAGGUGGGCUCCAAGGGAGAGCUGUUCCUGAUCUGUCACCAUCCUUCCUGGCUGAUUCUCUGGCUUCCUGUCAAUAAAAAUAGCAACUGCUUGUGGGGAGUCUGGGAUUGGCCAGGCCCCAGGCCAUGUGCUUAUUUUAUCCUGGCAUUCACUCAUUAUAGGAGCAAUCAAAGCUUGGGAAUAUGUGGUUUGCCUUGAACUUCUCUAUGGGUCAGAGGCCCUGUGCUAAGUCACAAAUCUCAAGGGCCAGGGCA
rnacentral:lncRNA from 1 species